UUUAUUUUAUUUUUAUUGUUUGACAAAGGUCUCUAUAAAUCGUCCACUACAGUCUUGGAUCCUGAGUCCAUUUGUCAGUAUCCACCAAGCAUGUAGAAGCAGGUUCAGGUACACCAAGUCUGGUUUUGAAAUCAUGUUAAAAUUACACUUUUCAUUCCCACGUUACUGUGUAUUGCUUCGUUAUUUUAAAGUAAAACUGAGUCAACAUGAUUUUUUUUUCAGGAGGCAGGAAGAUUAAAUCAGAACAUAUGGGACCAGAAAUGACCUGAAAUACUGUCCUUCUGUGAUAUAGCCAUUGAGUUCUCUGCAGAAAAGAGGGAAUGCCUGGAGCCUGCUCAGUGGAAUUUGUACAGGGAUGUGAUGUUGGAGAAUUACAGCAACCUUGUGUUCCUUGGUCUUGUUGUGUCUAAGCCACACCUGGUGACACUUCUGGAGCAAAGACAAGAGCCUUCAGAUGUGAAGAGACAAGCAGCAGCCAACAUGCAGCCAGGUGUGUAGGAAUGAGGGGUUCUGGGGCAGAGUUGAGGGCCACAUAUCCAACAGAAAGACAGGCUUUCCCAUGUGCCUUGAAACAUGACACUAUGGGAAUCAUUCUUUAGGCCUCUUUAUGUUUUUGUUGUCAAAGCUCACCUCUCAGACUUUUUAAUAGUUUCAGUUUCUUACUUUGUAUUUCCCCAACAGUGAGCUGUGUUUUUAUUUACAGUGACUUCUAAGGUUUUUCUUUUUGUUUAUUCUCCAUUGUAGUGUAAGACCCAGUGAAAGAGAACUCAGUGCUGGUCAGACUGAGAGUCAUUUAUUUGCAGAGGUUGUGAGCGGACUCAUGCCAGAAAGAUCUCUACACCAAAGUGAGCAUGAUUGGCUUUAUAAAACCAAACCCACAAUUCCAUCUCAGAGAGGCAGGAGGGGCAGAACAGUUUCAGUUCUGGU